rnacentral:rRNA from 1 species
AACGAACGCUGGCGGCAGGCUUAACACAUGCAAGUCGAGCGCCCCGCAAGGGGAGCGGCAGACUGGUGAGUAACGCGUGGGAAUCUACCCUUCACUACGGAACAACUCCGGGAAACUGGAGCUGAUACCGUAUACGUCCUUCGGGAGAAAGAUUUAUCGGUGAUGGAUGAGCCCGCGUUGGAUUAGCUAGUUGGUGGGGUAAUAGCCUACCAAGGCGACGAUCCAUAGCUGGUCUGAGAGGAUGAUCAGCCACAUUGGGACUGAGACACGGCCCAAACUCCUACGGGAGGCAGCAGUGGGGAAUAUUGGACAAUGGGCGAAAGCCUGAUCCAGCCAUGCCGCGUGAGUGAUGAAGGCCCUAGGGUUGUAAAGCUCUUUCACCGGUGAAGAUAAUGACGGUAACCGGAGAAGAAGCCCCGGCUAACUUCGUGCCAGCAGCCGCCGUAA